AUGCAUGACCUGCCAUAGGUCACAUCCCCCUAAACUUAAAUAUGAUAGUCUUUGAAGACUUAGAAUCACAUUUACCCAGUGGUUUGCCUUGGCUAGGGAAAUACCAUCCAAUUCAAGGUGGUGUCAAGAUAUCUUAACCUAGACAUGGAACCAAUGAACAUGGGAAUGACUCCACUAAAUGAAUUUAUGGAGAGGUCAAGAUACCUUAAUUUCGUCAUAGAGCCAUUUAACAUGGGAGUGGUUCC
rnacentral:lncRNA from 1 species